rnacentral:lncRNA from 1 species
CUGAGGGCAAAAAUCAACUCAACACAAAAGAAGACAAUAUUCAGAAAAUGAGACAAAAAAGCUGUAAGGCAUAUGAGAAACAACAAAAUGACAGAAGCAAAUCCCUCCAUAUCAGUCAUUACUUUUGAUGCAUAUUAAUUAAACCCUCCCAUCCAAAGACAGAGAUUGGUAGAAUAAACAAAAAGAUAUGAUCCCAUUCUAUGCUAUCUACAAUAGAUUCGCUUUGAACCCAAAGAUACAAGUGGAUUGAAAGGGAAAGGAUGGAAAAAGGUAUUCCAUGCAAAGAGUAACCCAAAGACAGCAGGAGCGGCUCUACUAAUAUCAAAGAAAAUAAGACUUUGAAUUAAAAAGGUUAUGAAACAAAGAAAAAUAUUACAUAUUGAUAAAAGGUUCAACAGAGCAAGAACAUAUAACUAUUAUAAACAUUUAGGCAGCUCAUAACAGAUAAUCAACAUAUACAAAGCAGAUAUUGAUAUAAUUGAAAGGAGAAAUGACAAUUCUACAACAAUACUCAGAGACUUCAAUACCUCAUUCUCAUUCAUAGAUACAACAACCAGAGAAAGAUAAGCAAGAAAAUAAAGCACUUGGACGGGCGCGGUGGCUCACACCUGUAAACCCAGCACUUUGGGAGGCCAAGGCAGGUGGAUCACCUGAGGUCCCGAGUUCAAGACCAGCCUGACCAACCCCAUCUCUACUAAAAAUACAAAAUUAGCUGGGCAUGGUGGCACAUGCCUGUAAUCCCAGCUACUCGGGGGGCUGAGGCAGGAGAAUCACUUGAACCUGGGAGGUGGAGGUUGUGGCGAGCCGAGAUCGCGCCAUUGCACUCCAGCCUGGGCAACAAGAGCAAAACUCCGUCUCAAAAAAAAAAAAAAAAAGAAAAGAAAAAGAAAGAAAGAAAAUAAAGCACUUGAAGGGCACGAUAAGCCAACUUGAUUUAACAGGUACACAGAACACUGUACCUAACAACAACAGAAUACACAUCCUUCCCAAGUACACAUGGGACAUUUUCCAGGAAAGGCGGUAAGUUAGGCUACCAAUUAGGCCUAGAUUCAAAAACAUAGAUAUCAUACAAAGCAUAUUCUCCAAGAACAAUGGGAUGAAGUUAAAAAUCAAUAAAUGAGGCCAGGCGUGGUGGCUUAGGCCUGUAAUCCCAGCACUUUGGGAGGCCAAGGCGGGCGGAUCACGAGGUCAG